CGGGGCGUAGCGCAGCCUGGUAGCGCACUUGCAUGGGGUGCAAGGGGUAGAGUGUUCGAAUCACUCCGUCCCGACCA
rnacentral:tRNA from 1 species